UGAGUAACCUGCCCUUAACUCUGGGAUAAGCCUGGGAAACUGGGUCUAAUACCGGAUAUGACUCCUCAUCGCAUGGUGGGGGGUGGAAAGCUUUAUUGUGGUUUUGGAUGGACUCGCGGCCUAUCAGCUUGUUGGUGAGGUAAUGGCUCACCAAGGCGACGACGAGUAGCCGGCCUGAGAGGGUGACCGGCCACACUGGGACUGAGACACGGCCCAGACUCCUACGGGAGGCAG
rnacentral:rRNA from 1 species